AUACGGGGGGGGCUAGCGUUGUUCGGAAUUAUUGGGCGUAAAGGGCGCGUAGGCGGCUUGGCAAGUCGGAUGUGAAAUCCCUCGGCUCAACCGAGGAACUGCAUCCGAUACUGCAGGGCUAGAGUCCGGGAGAGGGUAGUGGAAUUCCCAGUGUAGCGGUGAAAUGCGUAGAUAUUGGGAGGAACACCAGUGGCGAAGGCGGCUACCUGGACCGGUACUGACGCUGAGGCGCGAAAGCGUGGGGAGCAAACAGGAUUAGAAACCCCGGUAGUCC
rnacentral:rRNA from 1 species